rnacentral:rRNA from 1 species
AACGAACGCUGGCGGCAUGCCUAACACAUGCAAGUCGAACGAGACCUUCGGGUCUAGUGGCGCACGGGUGCGUAACGCGUGGGAACCUGCCCUUAGGUUCGGAAUAACUCCCCGAAAGGGGUGCUAAUACCGGAUAAUGUCUUCGGACCAAAGAUUUAUCGCCUUUGGAUGGGCCCGCGUUGGAUUAGCUAGUUGGUAGGGUAAAAGCCUACCAAGGCGACGAUCCAUAGCUGGUCUGAGAGCAUGAUCAGCCACACUGGGACUGAGACACGGCCCAGACUCCUACGGGAGGCAGCAGUGGGGAAUAUUGGACAAUGGGCGAAAGCCUGAUCCAGCAAUGCCGCGUGAGUGAUGAAGGCCUUAGGGUUGUAAAGCUCUUUUACCCGGGAUGAUAAUGACAGUACCGGGAGAAUAAGCGCCGGCUAACUCCGUG